AUACGUAGGGGGCGAGCGUUGUCCGGAAUGAUUGGGCGUAAAGGGCGCGUAGGCGGCUUGUUAAGUCUGGAGUGGAAGUCCUCUUUUCAAGGGAGGAAUUGCUUUGGAAACUGGCGGGCUUGAGUGCAGGAGAGGUUAUCGGAAUUCCCGGUGUAGCGGUGAAAUGCGUAGAGAUCGGGAGGAACACCAGUGGCGAAGGCGGGUAACUGGACUGCAACUGACGCUGAGGCGCGAAAGUGUGGGGAGCAAACAGGAUUAGAUACCCUGGUAGUCCACACUGUAAACGAUGAGUGCUAGGUGUAGGAGGUAUCGACCCCUUCUGUGCCGGAGUAAACGCAAUAAGCACUCCGCCUGGGGAGUACGGUCGCAAGAUUAAAACUCAAAGGAAUUGACGGGG
rnacentral:rRNA from 1 species